GUGCCAGCCGCCGCGGUAAGACGUAGGGGGCAAGCGUUGUCCGGAAUGACUGGGCGUAAAGGGCGUGUAGGCGGCACGGUACGUUGCGGUUUUAAGCCGUCGGCUCAGCCGGCGGAGGGUCGCAAAACGGCCGCGCUGGAGGGCAGGAGAGGUGCGGGGAAUUCCUGGUGGAGCGGUGAAAUGCGUAGAGAUCAGGAAGAACACCGGUGGCGAAGGCGCCGCACUGGCCUGGCCCUGACGCUGAGGCGCGACAGCGUGGGGAGCGAACGGGAUUAGAUACCCCGGUAGUCCACGCCGUAAACGAUGGGUACUAGGUGUUGCGCGGGUGCACCGCGCGGUGCCGGAGCUAACGCACUAAGUACCCCGCCUGGGGAGUACGGCCGCAAGGUUGAAACUCAAAGGAAUUGACGGGGGCCCGCACAAGCAGUGGAGCAUGUGGUUUAAUUCGACGCAACGCGCAGAACCUUACCAGGGCUAGACAGGAUCGUGAGCGCCGCGAAAGCGGCGGGCGUCCGCAAGGGCGAGCGGUCAGCAGGUGCUGCAUGGUUGUCGUCAGCUCGUGUCGUGAGAUGUUGGGUUAAGUCCCGCAACGAGCGCAACCCUCGUCGGAUGUUGCCAGCGGGGAAGCCGGGCACUCAUUCGAGACCGCCGGGGACGACCCGGAGGAAGGUGGGGAUGACGUCAAAUCCGCAUGGCCUUGAUGUCCUGGGCGACACACGUGCUACAAUGGCCGCGACAGUGGGCAGCGAAGGCGCGAGCUGGAGCGAAUCCGCGAAACGCGGUCGUAGUUCGGAUUGCAGGCUGCAACUCGCCUGCAUGAAGCUGGAAUUGCUAGUAAUCGCGGAUCAGCAUGCCGCGGUGAAUUCGUUCCCGGGCCUUGUACACACCGCCCGUCACACCACGAGAGUCGGCCACACCCGAAGCCGGGGACGCCA
rnacentral:rRNA from 1 species